UUAGGAAAAAAAAAAAAAAGAAAACAAAAAUAGUAAACAAAAAACAUAUGGUCUUAUUUACCUCUUGAACCCAAUGCAGCUAAUUAAAAAUAUCGAUAGGCUCAGCUGACCCCAAUUGACAUUCACCCCCCCACCACAGCUGCUCCCCUUUUUGGGAAUUCACCCACCCACGUAAGCACCUGUCAAAAGUGACAAUCACAAAAGAUGCAUUUCCUGUCUGCCACCUGAUUUCACUUUUAUUCUGAAUCUCGCUGCGGGCAGACCUGUGCAUCUGUGGAUUAAAUUAUUAAACCAGUGACUUAACCUCGUGGAGGAGAAAAUUAGUGUGUGAUUUUUUUAUAAGAAUAGAGCGGAUUUUUGUUGCUGGAUGACCCUCGAUGCCCGUGGAUUUGGAGGCACCACCUGGCCCAACCUCGGCAUCCAUCAUAAGCACCAGCAUCACCACCAAGCUUCAGGGAUUAUUUUUACGACCCGUCGCCGAAAUUCCGCCGGCAACAUCAACCCCUCUGCCUGUGGAGUCUUGGAUUUUUUUUAUGUAUUUUUUUAUAUAAAAAAAUUACAAAUAUCACGUAACUACAACUAUUAAAUAUCCCCGCGAGAGAGGACAAAAA